rnacentral:lncRNA from 1 species
ACAUAAUCGAAGUUCUUAAAAAAUCUCUUGGGUCCGACCAAGUCAACUUGAAGGUGAACUCUCGCUGUUGAAGAAUCUCAAGAUUGCUGAGAUUCUCUUCACUUUACAGGCAGCUGCAGCAGACCUUGUAGCUGGGGCGCAGGCCAAGCGUUUGGACAGCCCGUUUGCCAGGGCGGCUGCAAAGGCGAGAAUGAAUUGGAGUGGUGGAAAGCUAGAUGAUACCACGGCAGUUGUGGCGUUUGUGACGUGAUAUUUGAGUCGCGAAGGGUAAACAUUUCAAGCA